GUUGCGAUUCGGGAGUCCGGAGGCGAAGGAGGAGCUAGAACAACUUCUCAGGGGUGUAAGUCUGGAAGGCGAACCUGCCCUGCCGUUUACCCACUACUACAGGCAACGUCAUACAGAGCUCAACCCUGAGAUCCAAGCCAAGCCUCCAGUCAGGAAAGUCCAAGUCCCAGUCAAGUCUCAUGUCCCUGAUGUCCAAGUCCCAGUCAAGUCUGAAGUCCCUAAGGUCCAAGUCCAAGUCAAGUCUGAAGUCCCUAAGGUCCAAGUCAAGUCUGAAGUCCCUAAGGUCCAACCUCAUGUUCCUGAGAUCCAAGCCAAGCCUCCAGUCAGGAAAGUCCAAG
ensembl:lncRNA